rnacentral:rRNA from 1 species
AUGACAUGAUGCAGGUGGUUAACAUUCCAGGCUUGUGCUUUUAGAGGGCAUGAUGAAUCUCCGGGAUCCAUUAACCGGGGUAAUUUCCUAGAACUGGUAAAACUUUUGGCUUCUUAUAACAAGGAGGUGAAAGAUGUUGUCUUGGAAAAUGCUCCUGGAAACACAAAGUACACAUCUCAUCAGGUUCAAGAGGAAAUUCUUGCUAUACUUUCUCGAAAGGUGCAAAGAACAAUUAGAGAAGAAAUUGGUGAUAGCAAAUUUUGUAUAAUGGUUGACGAAGCUCGUGAUGAAUCCAAGAAAGAGCAAAUGGUGUUGGUCCUCCGGUUUCCUGACACUGAAGGGUUCAUACAGGAGCGUUUUGUUGAUGUCAUUCAUGUGAAUGACACUCUUGCAUUGACUCUCAAGGAGACAAUUUGCACUGUUCUAGCAGAUAACAAUUUAAAUGUGGAAGAUAUCAGAGGUCAGGCCUAUGACGGGGCCAGUAAUAUGUGA